rnacentral:tRNA from 1 species
GGAUCGUUAGUUCAGCGGGAGAAUACUUGCUCGACAAGCAAGGGGUCACUGGUUCGAAUCCAGUACGGUCCA